GUCAUUUUUUACGUGCUAGUAUUAGUACGAUGUUGAUAAAAAAAAAGUAUUAGUAUGAUGCUGUUGGAGAUCUAGAAAGUUGAAUUGUCGCGGAUGCUUUAGGAAGAUUUUUUAAUGCCUUAUAUUUUUAGUUUGUUUGCCAUAGUCCAAAGUUACCGAUCACGUUUUUUAUAGCUUCAGUUCUCGUCUUCGUAAUUUUUGAAAAAGAAGCUGUAGUUUAAUUAAAAAAAAAAUGUAGUUGAAUUUCAUUUAUUAUGAAAUCUGAAAUAAAAAAUCGAGACCAUGGAAAUACAUAUUGUGCUCAAAUUAUUAAAAAAGACAAAUUUAUUCAUUUUCUUGUAAUAAAAGCAUGUGUCAUACCAAUUGUCUAGGUUUUGUUUAUAACUCAAUGUCUAUGAUCUUAAUUUGUCCCUACAACAUAGGUUUUUAAAAUUUAAAUGUAGACAUGAGUAAAAAAAUAUUCGAAGGACAUGGUAUGGAGUUAGAGUUACCAUUAAUAUGUUUUAUUUAAUGAUUUAGCUGAGAGCAUAGAAAUUAAAAGAAAAUUAUGUAAUGUAAAAAAAAUAUAUAAUGUGAACUUAAGCUUGUAAGAAAUAGAAGGAUUAUAAGGUAGAUCACUUGAGUAACUACUCUGUGCGAGCCUUCU
rnacentral:lncRNA from 1 species